ACUGCACACUUUUUUGGUAUCUUGAUGGUGAGGAGUAGAAUGAGGGGACACAGAUAAUGGAUGUUGGGAAAGAGUUUAUUAGAGGUGAGAGCCAUCUCAGCCAGGGACUGCCUUCUUCCAGCUCCUGCCAACCUCCUUCACAUAGAUCAAUGCCAUGGACAUCGUGACAAGUUGGGGAAGCAUGGACAUUGGAAUUUGCUGGUUCAUCUUUGGGGGUUUAGAGAGAAGUUCCCAACCUUGGAGCAGACUUCAGCUUUAUGGGUGUGUCCCAGGCAGCUUCUGGGGUCUGGAACCUCAGUCGUUUUCAGGUGCAGUCCUGCUAGCUUGAGCUGGAGGAGCCAGCCUGCAUUUCCCUGAGAUGAGAGUUUUUCCAUGAAACUCUUAGAAGUAAGGACAUUUUGCUUCCAGAUUAUCCAUUGACUCAUACUGCCCGUCUGGGCAAGGAAGUCCAUUCCGAGAG